AUUUCCUGGUCAGAUGAUCAUUGUUGUGAUGACUGGAUACCAGGUUUGAUGCCUCUCCAUGGAUUUAAAUGAACAAAUAGAAGUAUAGGGAUACUAAAAAAGAAAUAAAUAUUUACAGAGCUCUGUCAACUCAUACAAGUUUUGAGACGUGGAUUUAGCUCUUGUGCAUUCAGUCUCCUCUGAAACUUGAGAAAUGACAAGAAAACAAAUAGAAAUGGCAGCAGAAAAUGCAACUGAAAAGAAUGAAAUGCAGAGAAUGAAAGCUGUACUGAGAAAUGCAGUCAAACCUGCACAGCAGGAAAAACCAACAAAGAGAGGAACAGAAAAUGCCUGUGGAUUCAGAGAACAUCUAACAGUGUGCAAGACAGACAGCAAUAAAGAAUUUCCACCAAACUUCUCUCUUGAUCAAGAAAGAUUAAGAAAGACCUGCGAGUCAAUCUGAUGCGACAGAGAUAUUCAAAGAAGAGAAAGCUCCAGUUGAUCUGAGAGAAUGUUCUUCAAAUCACUUUGAGUCAAUGAUUCAGAAUGAGACUGGACAUUUUUUUUUUUUUUUUUUUUUACAUGUAACACAUCUGAUUAUCUACUAAAAGAUAAAUCAUAAACGAGGUUAAGUGUCUUGUUCAAGUGCAUAAUGAACACUGUUUUUCAGCUGCUAGAACCAAAAGAUUUAGGCUAAUUAAUCUUACUGAAAUAUUCUUUGUGAAAGCUCAUGUAAGUGUCAGUGUCUAAACCUGAACAAGUGUCUAUGUUUUAGUCAUUCUGCCCAUGACAGAAUUUAUUGCAAUACUUCUGUGUUUUUCGUUUUGUUUAUUGUUGAUGUUGGUUUAGCACUGCAGCAGUGUGCAAUAAAUGUGUCUGUCACAAAGAAAUGUGUAAAACUAA